GGGGCCUAGUGGGAAGAGAUUGAAUCACGGGGGCUGACUUUCCUCUUACUGUUGUCAUAAUAGAAUUCUUAUAAGAUCUGGUUGUUUGAAAGCAUGUAGCACCUCCACCUUCUUUCUCUCUCUCUCUCUCUCUGCCUCUCUCUCUCUCUCUUUCUCUCUCUCUCUACCUCCCCCUCUCCUGCCAGCCAAGUGAAGACAUGCUUGCUUCCCCUUCACCUUCCUCCAUGAUGGUACCCCCAGAAUCCAGAUUGCAGCUACAGGCCCUCCUGAUGAAAUCAAAAACUCCACAGCUUGAAGUAGAGAUGAUUCCACCGGAAGUCCUUAAUAAGGCCCUGGAGAAAUGCAGAGAUGCAGGUUUAAUGAAGUCCAUCAGGGUGUCCAGUUUCAAUCACUAACUGUUGGAACUGAUCCUCAGACAAGCCAGGACUCAAGUACAAGCCCACCUACAACCAGAUGAGCCCUUAGGGCCACUGGGGCCAUUUCUGACUUUGUGCUCUUCACACGCUUCCUUACAUUAGAAUAAUGUAAUUGUUCAGUAUGUUGUGCUUUAAUUUUUUAAGAGAAUGUCAAAGGCUAGCCAUGACACUGUUAUGUGUAUUUCUUUUAAUUUAACUUUUCCAUAAAUAUUAAAUAAUGUAAUUGUUCAGAAUUAGUAUCAGAAUUGUUUCAUAAAUAUUAAAUAAGGUAAUUGUUCAGAAUUAGAAUUAAAUAAUGUAAUUUAGGUCUCCAAAACUGUUUUUAUUUUCAAUAUUUUUAACUUUUAUUUUAAGUUGAGGGGUGCACGUGCAGGUUUUUUAUAAAGGUAAACUCAUGCCGUGGGGGUUUGUUCUACAGAUUAUUUUGUUACCCAGAUAUUAAGCUUAGUACUCAUUAGUUAUUUUCAACAUCCUCUCCCUUGUCCCAAUUUUGAUAAAUUGGUAAAGGCAACAGCCUGAAUAGAGGUGCAUUCAAAAAAGCGUAGGAAGAGAAGAAUUAGAUACAGAAGUGUAGAAAGUAUUCAAAGAAUGGGUUAUAAAUACACCUGACAAUUGAGAUGACAAUUUUCUUUGAGAUGGCAGAAAAAACAGCAUGCCUAUAUGCUCUUAGGAAGGAUCUAGUAGAAAGAGAAAAACUGAUGAUGCAGGAGAGAGAGGAUCAGAAUUGCUGAAUCAUGUUUGCAUUCAUUUCCUAUUUCUGCUGUAAAAAAAAAAUCACAAAUGUUGUGGCCUGAAACACCAUAAUUAAUUUUCUCACAGUUCAUCAGUUAUGAAACAUCAUAAUUUUCUCAAAUUCCAAUGAAUUUGGAAUCAGAAUUCCAAAAUCUGGUUCAACAGGCUAAAGUCAGGGUGUCCACAAGGUUGUAUUUCUUCUUGAGGGUCUAGGGGAAAAUGCUAUUCCGGGCCAUUCCAGGUUCCAGAGAAUGUGUUCCUUGGCUCAUGGCACUUAUUCUAUCUUGAAAGCCAACUACAUGGCAUCUUAGGAUCUCUGUGCUAUGCGUCUUUCCUUACACGUCCUCUUUGAUUGUGGCCCUCCUGGGUGCCACUUGUAAGGAUUUUGAGAUGACAUUGCCUAUCCAGAUGAUUCAGGAAACGCUUCUAUCUUAGGAUCCUUAACAUAAUCACAUCUGCAAAGUUUGUUUUGCCAGGUAAGGUAACAUAGUCACAGGUUCUAAAGAUAAAGGCAUGAGUUAUUGGCAGGGCAGGGGGAGGGAGCAUUAUUGAGCCUACUGUACUAGCUUUGUGGAGUACUUGAAGCAAGUAAGCCUUAAUUUUCUAGCCUUGCUAAUAGAAAGUACUAUAUCACCAGCCACUAGGUCCUGAAAAAUCUAGAUUUCAUCUCAGAUAUAAAGAAAUAAAAACCUGUUCCUUAGCUCUGAUAUCAUUUAUACCCUAUCAUAUGUCCCCUUCUAGUUAUAGUCCCUUUAUUCCCUUAGUUUACCAUUUCUCCCAGGAUUUGUGAAUAUCUUUUCUCACUGUACAUGCAGAGAACUCCAGCACUGCUGUUCUUUACAUUCUCAACAACUGAAAGUUUCUACUCAUACCUAGAUUAUACUUCAGGUAACUACUUCUAUGCUGUAACUUAUACAGACAAAGAAGUACUUAUAACUGCUCUAUGAACCUUUAACUUUAACACACUUCAUACUAAUGAAGCCUCUUACGCUUCGAUUUUCACUACACAUCAGUUCAUCAAGUUCUUGAUUCAUUAAGGAUUGCAGUCAUUGGGUCUCUCGUGUUUCCUCUUUCCAUUCUUUCAAUCUCCACACAAGUUUACAUAUUCAGAUUUGCUUACAUAAUAAAGUAAAUUGAAAUCCUCAGACUACACUCAUUCUCUCUAAAUUUCUCCUUUAGGUUUUCUGCUGGUUGGGGUCUCUUGUCCUUGUACCUAUUGAUCUGUGCUUAUAGCAACCAAACUGGAUCAAUCUGCUUAUAGCCAGAACAAAUUGCCCUGAUUGUAUUUUUGUAGACCAUCUAGCCAAAAGCUAAAAUCCUACACCAGAGAUUCUUAUUCAUUUGAUCUGUAGAAAAGUUUAGGUAUCACUAUGUUUCCUUUAUUUUGUUUUUGGAUUUGUAUAAAAUUAAAGUUUACAAGUGCAAUUUGCUAUAUAGAUAUAUUGCACAGUGGUGAGGUCUGGGCUUUUAGUGUAGCUAUCACCUGAAUCAUGUCCAUUGUACUUACCCAAUAAUUUCCCAGCCUCCCAGCCUUCUGAGUCUCCACCAGUGGAAGACGGAGGAUCCAGUGGGCAGAUAUCAAGUGCCUAUAGGUGUGCCUAGGCAUGGAGUUGGGAAACAUCUGCUCUUUGAUGAAUUUUAAAGAGGUUAUUUGGGUUUUGUUGUAAUUAUUGUUGUUGGGUUGAGUUCCUUAUAAAUUCUGGAUAUCAGUCCCCUGUUA